CUCGUUUCUUUUUCCAGUCCUGGCGCUACGGGGGUUGAAAAGCGGGGAUCUGCUUUGUAAAUGGGGCGCUGGGAUUCUUUUUAACGUUCUCUGUUUGUUGUCCUCUUUCAGGCUGCCGUGAGCGCUCUCGCGGUAAGGAUCAGCCCGAACCGGUGAGCGCUUCUAAUAGUAAUGGGACAGUGGAGGCGGUGAGCUCGGGAGUCGUUACGGGUUCCCGGUCUGCCGCAGGAUUCUGCCGGGUCCUCGCCCCGCUCUUCUUGGGGCCGGCGUAGGAGCUAGCGUCGCUGCCCGGCUCCCGUCGCGUUUUCUGAACGGGCUGCCGCUCGGUUUCCCGAAUCCUAGCGCAGCCCCGGGGUGCUCUCGGCCCCCCCCGAGGUUCUUCGGGGGAGUGCUUUAGUUCUUCCUGCUGUCAUCGGUGGGAGCGAGCGGGAUGGAGCCCUGUUCUUCCGGCCUCGGUGCUGCCGGGUGUAAGAAGCAACGCUAAGGGCUGCCGAAAUAACACGAGUUUUUCCUCUUAUUGCAGGCCGAGCGAGGGCUGCGGCGGAGCCUCUCGUCAGUCCAAACCGGAAAGAGACCAGUGAGGUGGUGGAGCAGCUUUUCCAGUGAGAGAACCGGGAUGUAUUGAGCCCUGCCUACAGAGGAACGAAGAGCCAGCGGAGCAGUUGCGUGUGAAGCUGAAGCAGCAGGAGGCUCCUGCAAUGUGUUGAAGGUAAAAUUUCUGACACGGGUGAUGGAGGAACUGAUGAGGAGCAGAGUGCCUCCGGAGCUUGCUCUCCCUGUUGAGUAAGUGAAGAUGAAAGGUGGCCUCGAGUGUGACUGAAUUCAGGAUUUUGUGUGGAAGAUGCGGAGUAGGACUUAAAGGAAGACAACUUACUCCUCCUAGAGGACCUGUGUGGAGUGAUCACUGCUGAGAUUGCUUGUCGGUAAUACCAGAGGAAACAGUCUUUGAAGAAGGGUGACCUCUUGAGUGCAGAGGAGCUGCUCAAAGUUCACUUAAGUAAAAUUGAUGGCUGCAGAUCCCUGCCCUAAUGGAAUAUGCCUGAGAGAUGCUUGAGGACUGGAAGAUAGCCGGUGUCACCCCAGCUUUCAGAAGGGGUGAGAAGGAUGGCCUGUGUGAAGUUAGGCCAGUUGGGCUUGACUCCAUCCCCAAGAAUAUGAUGGAACAACUUUGAGAUAUUAUCAUCAAGUGACAGGAAGAUAAGAAACCUCUUAGGAGUGGAUAUAAUGCCAGACCAACAAGGAGUUCAGCUGAUGGAGACUGGUUCAUGUGGACAGUAAUGGGAGCAGUGUUCAUGACCUGAACUCCAGAAGCAAGAAUGAUUUAAUGGGUGAGGGCUGCAAAAGGUGCCCAUGGUGGUGUGUGUGGGGAGCAUCCUAUUUUGGCCCCUCAGAGGCUGUUUAUGAUGUCUUCCUGCAGGUCUGGAAUGAGGUGGGGUCUAUUGUUCCUGAGUUGCUUCCUUCUAGUUGUGGUGCAUCAAGUGGAAGGUUGUGCUGCUGGAGUUUGUAGAAGUGGCAGUCAACAGCUUUGCUUCAACAAGAACAUCUGUGCAUACCUCUGUUCUUCCUAUUUCAACGUGUGCUCCCCCAAAUACUGGUAACAACUAAGGUGGCUUCCCUGUGGUGGGAAGCAGCUAAAUUUCUGGAUAGUAUUCUUUCUUGAAUUGGUAGAGCUUCCUGAACUUGAAGGCAAGAAUCCUGGCUGGAGAGUGGAGUGACCUUUUUGUUUAAGCUUUUAGGAAACUAGUUCCCGUGAACUUUCAUCCCCAACUGAGACCAAACUGCAAUGCAAGCUACACAAAGCUGUCCUCUUCUGCAUUUCUCUUUCCCUUAAAAGAAAGUGAACUGCAUUUGUUUUCUGCCUUUGAGUAAAACGUUUGCAUGUAGUGUAUUGUAUCUCUACAUAAGCGUUGGCAAUUAUUCACUUGCUUCAAUGUUAAUUGUUUUGCUGAAUGAGGUAACUUAUUCAGGAUAGAAACUGGAGAUAGUUUACUUAGCAGUGAUACUGCCCUAACAUAAUGGCGACUCUAUUGAAAUGAGUAUGUUAUUUUGUUCACUAUGUUCAAGAUAGCUGCAGGUAAUUACCAAGUCAUUUCUCAGGGCAAGAAGAAUGCAAGUUUUAAAAGCCCUCUAGAGGAAGUUGUACUACUGAGCUUUAGGAAGAAAGUUUUCAGUAAAAUAAAUGUGCAUGAAUUCACUAAGGUGUGUGUUUGUUUCUGUAAACAAGAAGUGGGGGUAACUCCUCGCUCUGUGUGAGAUCACCUCAAAUUCCAUGCCCAAAAGCCUUGUCCAAACACUUAUUUAACUGAUGGCUGGGG